AGAGUUUGAUCAUGGCUCAGGAUGAACGCUGGCGGCGUGCCUAAUACAUGCAAGUCGAGCGAACAGACGAGGAGCUUGCUCCUUUGACGUUAGCGGCGGACGGGUGAGUAACACGUGGGUAACCUACCUAUAAGACUGGGAUAACUUCGGGAAACCGGAGCUAAUACCGGAUAAUAUUUCGAACCGCAUGGUUCGAUAGUGAAAGAUGGCUUUGCUAUCACUUAUAGAUGGACCUGCGCCGUAUUAGCUAGUUGGUAAGGUAACGGCUUACCAAGGCAACGAUACGUAGCCGACCUGAGAGGGUGAUCGGCCACACUGGAACUGAGACACGGUCCAGACUCCUACGGGAGGCAGCAGUAGGGAAUCUUCCGCAAUGGGCGAAAGCCUGACGGAGCAACGCCGCGUGAGUGAUGAAGGUCUUCGGAUCGUAAAACUCUGUUAUUAGGGAAGAACAAACGUGUAAGUAACUGUGCACGUCUUGACGGUACCUAAUCAGAAAGCCACGGCUAACUACGUGCCAGCAGCCGCGGUAAUACGUAGGUGGCAAGCGUUAUCCGGAAUUAUUGGGCGUAAAGCGCGCGUAGGCGGUUUUUUAAGUCUGAUGUGUAAGCCCACGGCUCAACCGUGGAGGGUCAUUGGAAACUGGAAAACUUAAGUGCAGAAGAGGAAAGUGGAAUUCCAUGUGUAGCGGUGAAAUGCGCAGAGAUAUGGAGGAACACCAGUGGCGAAGGCGACUUUCUGGUCUGUAACUGACGCUGAUGUGCGAAAGCGUGGGGAUCAAACAGGAUUAGAUACCCUGGUAGUCC
rnacentral:rRNA from 1 species